AAACAGAACAUGCUCAUGAUAUAGACACAAUGAAUCCAAUUGCUUCUGACCAGGAGCCGCACGGUUCAAUUGGUGCAGUAGCUGGUCAUCGAGCCAUUUCUCAGAGUAAUACUGAGGAAAUUUCUGAAGCUUUGUUUCGAUACUCUGCACCAGAGGAGGUGAUGACUUUCUAAUCAACGUGUGGAACUUGUACUGCAAAGUGUGAGACUCAAAUGUUUGUCACCAACAUCCCAUACUUCCAACAAGUAAUUGUCAUGGCAUCCACUUGUGAGGCUUGUGGUUACCGCAAUUCUGAG